rnacentral:rRNA from 1 species
GACGAACGCUGGCGGCGUGCUUAACACAUGCAAGUCGAGCGGUAAGGCCCUUUCGGGGGUACACGAGCGGCGAACGGGUGAGUAACACGUGGGUGACCUGCCCUCAGCUCUGGGAUAAGCCUGGGAAACCGGGUCUAAUACCGGAUAUGACUCCAUGACGCAUGUUGUGGGGUGGAAAGCCUUGUGCGGCUGAGGAUGGGCCCGCGGCCUAUCAGCUUGUUGGUGGGGUGAUGGCCUACCAAGGCGACGACGGGUAGCCGGCCUGAGAGGGCGACCGGCCACACUGGGACUGAGACACGGCCCAGACUCCUACGGGAGGCAGCAGUGGGGGAAUCUUGCACAAUGGGCGAAAGCCUGACGCAGCGACGCCGCGUGAGGGAUGACGGCCUGUGU